rnacentral:lncRNA from 1 species
GAUAAGUACUUGACUGCAUCCAGUAACCUUCCAUCACUGAUUAGUAAUUCAGAUGGUCCGGCACUAAAGUAUAGUGAGUUGCUUACAAGUCACUAUGGUGAUCUCAGGUCUGAGAGACACUUAUACCCAUAUCCUUCUCGAGCUACUCUUGACAGUAAAGUGCUCGAUAAAUGAUCACGUUCAGUGUGAAUGGACUUCUACAUUCUAUCUACAUGCUAUACCAAUAUCUU